rnacentral:rRNA from 1 species
CCUUCGGGUUGUAAAGCUCUUUUGUCAGGGAAGAAACGGUGUUUUCUAAUACAGAAUGCUAAUGACGGUACCUGAAGAAUAAGCACCGGCUAACUACGUGC